UCCGGUACACACUUAAUGCACAUCAAUGAGCUUGCAACUCACCAUGAACUUCACUACAGAGCCGAU
rnacentral:tRNA from 1 species